rnacentral:lncRNA from 1 species
AAAUGAUUUAUAAGAUUUGGUUAAUGAAUUUGGGUGUAGAUACCACGUGCUUUCUGAAUUAAAGAGAAAAGUGUUAAACAAUCUCCGUCAGUAGUUUUAUGUUCUCUACCAACUUGGAUAGAUUAUCCUAUUAUUUGUUGGUACUUACAUACUUAUUGAGCAUAUUAAGCUCACUCUAUUUAUUAUUCAUUUUUUUAAGAUUAGGAUAUUCAUAACCCUGCUCCUGAAUAAUGAAAGACUUGCUAGAAGAUCAUUUAAUUUUUAUUCUAAUUCGAACAGUACUUAAUGUUAAUGAUUUCAUUUUUAGUGAGUGUUUAUUUUAGAUUUUAGACAUGCCUUAUGGAUAUUGGAUAUUUUGAACUAAGUUUGCAAGGGAUGUACUGGGAGGGUGUUUUAACCUACAAAGGAGUGGCUGAAAGGGGCAACUGGGUAGACCAAGGAUGAGGUAACAUAUGGGUCAUGAAAUAGGAGCUGUCAUGGUAAUUAUGUUGAAAUUCAAGGGAAAUUUAGGUAGUAGUGUGAUGGGAACCAUAUAAGCAAAGCGAUAAAUGUCUAUUUGAGUGGGAGAGUGAUGAAAAAGAGUAGAGAGACUAUUUGGGACAAGUCAAGGAAGUGGAUAACAGGCUAUUUGUACCUGUGAGCUUUGGGAAGAGUAUAAGAUAUCUAGAGAGAAAAAGGGGACUAUCUGGAGUGAGAGAUAGAGUUGAGGGUGACUCCGGUUUAGGAAUUUCAUUGAUUUUAAUACAUUGUUUAAGUCUAAAUUUAACUUUAUGGGCAUGGGUAGGCUCAUUC